rnacentral:lncRNA from 1 species
CUGCUCAUCCUCCACCUCAGACCCCGUGUGUGUUGUAAUUACUCCAGUGAUCUGUCAGUGAUGCAGGUCUCAGGGGAAACACACAGAGGUGAAACACAAAGCUGCUGCUUCAACAACGUGUGCACUUCUGUCUUUGUGACAUUUUGCAUCCUGUGUGAAACUUAAAGUGAACCUCACUACGUGUCCCACACAUGUCCACAGACACACAGGUGGAGGAAUGGAACAGUAAAUCAACAAGGUGACAGGAAGCUGGCCGGGCUGACGGGAAAUGAAGAACCUCUCGAGGCGAUUUCUCUUCUCUGCUGCACAAACUCAAGGCUCUAUGAAUCAGCGGUCAUCAGUUCCCCUCAGUCUCUGCAUCUCCUCCUCCACUUCGCCUCCCUCUGCUCCUCCUCUUCCUCUUUUCUCUCACUCGUCCUCCACCUACACCUGGUAGCCCGCUGACCUGUCAGCACACAGGAGAGCUGUGUGUGUGUGCGUCACUGCGAGUCCCCGAGGCGAUAUCCUCCACCAGAGAAGCAGCUGUUUCCCUCCGAGCCGGAGCAGGAGAAGCAGCUGUUGCUUCACCGUGAAUUCAAUCUCACAUUUUGUUGUUUUUGAGCCAUCGGCCGACUCAGCCUCUCACUGUUUUCUUUCACGCCUGAUGUAAACUGGUCACUUCUUCCUCAUCAGAAACACAAAAACAGCACAAGAUGAGAUGAUGAGACAUCUGGUCUGUGUGGAGCGAUGAGGAGUCGUGCUUCAUCAUUUGAUGUUUCCACUCAAUUUUAAAUGACAUGAGCGCUACUCUUCAUAUCAGGGCCAUUAACAAGGUACAUUAACAAACUGAGUAGUAUCAAAGUAAAACCAGGACUUGACCGUGUUCCUCUCUCUAUGCGCAGCCUGUUUACUUCUUUAGUUACAGUACUACUGUCUUUCUCCUGGUGAACUGAGACCCAAUUAAUUAAUUACAAGCUGUAAACAAAACAGAUUCAACACCGAGCGACACAGGUCGAUCAAAACAAGAGAGGAUGAAAAUACAUCACAUAUCGCUCACUCUGCUCCUCCUCUCUCUCUUUAUCCCCCUCUCCAUCCCUGCGGGCGGUUCAUCC